UUCUGGCUCAGGACGAACGCUGGCGGCGUGCCUAACACAUGCAAGUCGAGCGGGGACAUACGACGGAGUCAAAGUUUCGGAUGGAGACGAAGAUGUAUGUUCUAGCGGCGGACGGGUGAGUAACGCGUGAGCAACCUGUCCCUUACAGGGGGAUAACACAGCGAAAGUUGUACUAAUACCGCAUGAGACCACGGGAGGACAUCCUCCAGGGGUCAAAGGAGCAAUCCGGUAAGGGGUGGGCUCGCGUCCGAUUAGACAGUUGGUGAGGUAACGGCCCACCAAGUCGACGAUCGGUAGCCGACCUGAGAGGGUGAUCGGCCACAUUGGGACUGAGACACGGCCCAAACUCCUACGGGAGGCAGCAGUGGGGAAUAUUGGGCAAUGGGGGGAAACCCUGACCCAGCAACGCCGCGUGAGGGAAGAAGGUUUUCGGAUCGUAAACCUCUGUCCUUGGUGAAGAGUAAGAGACGGUAGCCAAGGAGGAAGCCCCGGCUAACUACGUGCCAGCCGCAGC
rnacentral:rRNA from 1 species